rnacentral:rRNA from 1 species
AUUGAACGCUGGCGGCAGGCCUAACACAUGCAAGUCGAGCGGAUGAAGGGAGCUUGCUCCUGGAUUCAGCGGCGGACGGGUGAGUAAUGCCUAGGAAUCUGCCUGGUCGUGGGGGAUAACGUCCGGAAACGGGCGCUAAUACCGCAUACGUCCUGAGGGAGAAAGUGGGGGAUCUUCGGACCUCACGCUAUCAGCUGAUCCUAGGUCGGAUUAGCUAGUUGGUGGGGUAAAGGCCUACCAAGGCGACGAUCCGUAACUGGUCUGAGAGGAUGAUCGGUAAACAGGAAACUGAGAAACGGUCCAAAACCCUACGGGAGGCAGAAGAGGGAAAUAUUGGACAAUGGGCGAAAGCCUGAUCCAGACAUGCGGGGGGGGGGAAGAAGGUCUUCGGAUUGUAAAGCACUUUAAGUUGGGAGAAAGAGCAGUAAGUUAAUACCUUGCUGUUUUGACGUUACCAACAGAAUAAGCACCGGCUAACUUCGU